rnacentral:rRNA from 1 species
ACAGGUGCUGCAUGGCUGUCGUCAGCUCGUGUCGUGAGAUGUUCGGUUAAGUCCGCUAACGAGCGCAACCCUCGCUGUGUGUUACAAGUGUCACACAGGACCGCCGGUCUUAAGCCGGAGGAAGGUGGGGAUGACGUCAAGUCAGCAUGGCCUUUAUGUCCAGGGCUACACACACGCUACAAUGGUCAGCACAAUAGGUAGCCAAGCCGCGAGGUGGAGCCAAUCCUCAAAGCUGGCCUCAGUUCAGAUCGCAGGCUGCAACCCGCCUGCGUGAAGCCGGAGUUGCUAGUAACCGCAGGUCAGCUAUACUGCGGUGAAUACGUUCCCGGGGCUU